rnacentral:rRNA from 2 species
UCCGUAGGUGAACCUGCGGGAAGGAUCAUUA